AAUCCCAACUGUUUCCUGGUUCCACGAGAAUAGAAAGCUGAGCAACAGCGACAGUUUGACCAUCUCAGAUGGCUCAAUUACAAUUAAACAGGUGUCUAAGAAAGACAUAGGUAUAUAUAGCUGUUCCGGAAAUAACAAUGAUGGAGAAGAGUCUGCAACUAUGAAUUUGAAUGUCAUAGAUCCAAAUAAAGUACCACCUUCGACCAGAGGUCACCGGGAAACAAAGCUGACAACA